GAUGAACGCUGGCGGCGUGCCUAAUACAUGCAAGUCGAGCGAACAGACGAGGAGCUUGCUCCUCUGACGUUAGCGGCGGACGGGUGAGUAACACGUGGAUAACCUACCUAUAAGACUGGGAUAACUUCGGGAAACCGGAGCUAAUACCGGAUAAUAUAUUGAACCGCAUGGUUCAAUAGUGAAAGACGGUUUUGCUGUCACUUAUAGAUGGAUCCGCGCCGCAUUAGCUAGUUGGUAAGGUAACGGCUUACCAAGGCGACGAUGCGUAGCCGACCUGAGAGGGGGAUCGGCCAAAUGGGACCUGAGACACGGUCCAGACCCCUAGGGGAGGCAGCAGUAGGGAAUCUUCCGCAAUGGGCGAAAGCCUGACGGAGAAACGCCGCGUGAGUGAUGAAGGUCUUCGGAUCGUAAAACUCUGUUAUUAGGGAAGAACAAAUGUGAAAGUAACUAUGCACGUCUUGACGGUACCUAAUCAGAAAGCAACGGCUAACUACGU
rnacentral:rRNA from 1 species